AUUAGUCUUCUGUGAUUGUGGUUUUCAUUCUAUUUGCCCUCUGAUGGAGAAGGAUAAGAGGGUUAUGGAGUUUCCUGAUGGGAGAGACUGACUGAGGGGGAACUGGGUCUUGUUCUGAUGGGCUGGGCCAUACUCAGUACAUCUUUAAUCCAAUUUUCUGUUGAUGGGUGGGGCUGUGUUACCUCCCUGUAGUUUGACCUGAGGCCAAACUAUGGUGGAGGUAAUGAAGAUAAUGGUGACCUCCUUCAAAAGGUCCUGUGCACACACUGGUUUACGGAGUGCCCCGACCCUGCAGCAAGCCACCACCAACCCAGGCAUCCUCUGGAGAUGACUGGACAUUCACCAGCAAGUCUGAGUCGGUCUCUUCUGAGGCCACUGCUCUUUCUCUUGGGUCUCGGUGCACACAAGGUUUUCUUUGUGCCCUCCAAGAGUCUGUUUCCCCAGUCUUGUGUAAGUUCAGGUGGCUCUGUUGUGGGGUUAAUAGUGACCUCCUCCAGGAGUGCCUAUGCUAUACCCAGGUCUGCUGCAUCCAGAGCCCCUGCCCCAGCAGCAGGCCCCUGAUGAUCCAUUCCUCCACUGGAGACGCACUCAAAGGCAGGUCUAGCUCAGACUCCGUGGCAUCCCUGGUGAGCCCAAGGUUUUGUUUGAGCCCUUCAAGCAUCUGGUGGGUAUGGGGUUUGAUUCUAAACGUGAUUUUGCCCCUCCAGCCAUCUUGCUGGGGCUUCUUCUUUGCCCUUGGAUGUGGAGUAUUCUUUUUUGGUGGGAUCCUUCAUUCUCCUGUCAACAGUUGUCCAGCAGCGAGUUGUAAUUUUGGAGUUCAGAGGGGAAGAUGAGCGCCUGACCUUCUGCUCUUCCAUCUUGGGUCUAUCAUUACAGUUGGUGUUUAUGCAGUGAGUUUUUGGGCAUAGUGAUGCCUAGAUUGUCUCCAUGUCUGCAGAUUGUUAGAUUCUCAUAGGAAAAAAUUAGAUUGCAUACUUUUAACAAAGAAAAAUGACCAAAGGAUUUUACUUUUAUCUUUAGGAAGAAAGGAAGACAUUAAAAGGGAAUUGUCAUUUAAGUCCUAGCUAUUUUCAUAGCUAGCAUAAAGUAAUGGUUAUUUUGCUGUACUAUAUAAAUGUACUGGUUGAAAAUUUAUAUGCAUAUACAAAUAUACUGUAAAUGUAUAUACACAUACAUAUGUAAAAUUAUUUUUAGGGACAUAGAUAGGAUAAUUUCUUUUUAAACAUCUAUUCAUUGCUUUACUUGUUUUCUUUUUGGAAAAAAAUGGAAAUUGAAUUUCAGUUAUAAGCUUAAAUGUGUAGAAACCUGCUUCAUUUAUAUCUAAAUGUUAAUUUUUAUAUAAAAUGUUUAAGUGGCUAUGUAUUUUUUUUAAUGUUUCCAUAUAUACUUCUGUGCAAACAGAAUUUCUGUGAUUUUGAGUUUUUCUUUUUUUUUCUGAGAGCUUUUGAAAAUUUUCUGGGGGUAGUUAAAUUUGUAUAUUAUAAUCAGUAACUAAUGUCAGGAGUAUUCUCAGUUGCCUAUAAUGUAAAUAAUGAAAAUUUGUUAGAAGUAUCAUUAGUAUAUCUUACUUUGUGUAGCAGUUUGGCAAUGACAAUCAAAAUUUGAAUAUGUAAAACUUUUGAAAUGAUAAAACGCUGAUGGGAUUUUACCUAUUACUGUUCUCAAAUUCAUAAAGAAGAAAAUAUGUUAGAGAUUGUAACAUAAUUUGAAUGUUUGAAAUAUGCAUCAUUAAAAGAAGAAUUGUAAUGAUAGCUUAUUUGUAUGACUGUCAUUCAAACACUGAAAAAAUAUUCUGAUGUUGAAGAAUGUUUUAAGUUGAUUCUUUUAAUUGUCAUUUCUGAACAGAUAACAGCUAAAUGUGUAUGCUGAGGUGUGUCCAUAUGCCUCUUUUUUCUAUUUGAAAUAUUAAUGGUUAGUAUUCCUAGGGACUGGGUUUAUUCUGACAUGAUGAUAGAGUUAAAUAAUGCUUACUCAGUAGUGUUAAGUAUAAUGGUGAUUAUUUUAGCAUUCUUUUUGAAACUUUUGCACAUGUGUAAGUUCAGUUCUAAAACAUGUUGCUACAUGACAGUGUAAAAAUACAAAUGUGGAUUAUGUAAUAGAAAGUUGUCUGGAAAAUCAUAGCAAAAAUUUAACAUUAUUAUAUAAAUAUACCAGGAAAAAAGGGACAGCUGCUAUUUACUGCCUUUAAAAUUUUAAAUUUCAAAAGCAACAUCUAACAAACGAAGGAACAUAAAAGAUACAGCCAAUUUGUGCUUGUCUUCAUCAUUACCUGUUGACAUUUUGGAGUGUUGGGCUGUUGAAUCCAGCUUUGGAUUCCCAGUGACUGUUACGCAUAGCUUUUGAGUGAUCAUGAAGAGUGUGGACUUAGAUACUAGUGCAGCAGAGAGUUUACAACAGUGAAACAAAGAGUAUUUGAUAACCCUCGGAAAGAAGGGAGAAGAUGGGAUUUGAGGUAAAUAUGGUGAAAGAAAACAUGCAGAUAAUCUGAGGAUAUCUGACAUCAUCAGGAACAUUCUUCCUAUGGAGUUCCUUAAUUUAUAAGUCUCAACUGUAAACCACAAGUAAGAAGGUUCUGGAUCAAGAAAUGCUGUAUUUUGGCUAGGCUCAGGAAAAUAACACUGGUGCAGACUUCAUGCACUUUGGAAUUAUCAGAUAUUCCUGAGAAUCAAUUCUGUGGGUGAAGAUUUCUGAGAGUGCCAGAAUGUAUGUGGAAUCAACUGGGAAGACCCAGUCCAAUGAUUGAGAGUGAUUCAAACCACUGGAGUGUUCUGGAUACUCACAUCUGGCACUGGUUUUAGAUGACUUGGAAGUGUGUCCUCUCAAGUGAUGACUACAUAGGAAAACUGAUGCUACUGAUUCUGCCACCAUCUUCCAUAAAACCAAAAAAUAAUCUUCAUAAUGUAUGGCAAUUCCUCAUUAUUGUAUUGCAACAAACACUCCCUGUAGAUCAGAAAAACUGGCUGAGAAGGCUCAAAUUUGAAAGUGACCCAAAGUGUGAUUGGAGAGAAUUGUAACCAGGCAUGUGGACUGUUUUCAUUGUUGCUAUUGGACUGAAUCUCAGGAGCUUGAAUGAUGGAGACAUUGUUACACAAAGACGCCCAGGAUCUUGUAAUGUCAAAGCUUCAUUUCAAUGCUCCCAAAAGUAUUAGUGCGUAUAUUUAAAACUUUCAUUUAUCACAGGGAAAUUUAAAAUUGAUUCAUAAAAAAAAUCACAAUUUUCAAGAUUUCAAAGGAUAUGGAAAAUUUUAAGUAUAACAUUUUACUUUUUAAAUGCUGUUUUUCCUCCUCUGAUUCUGCCACCUCUGUCUAUGUUACCUAAUUAUUGUUGAAAUUUUGUGCACAUCCUGUGGGUUUAUUGAUCAGUUAACACAGCAUUUUAGGGGAUCUGUAUAUACUAGCCAUAGAUUUUUCUAUUCAGUAAACAUUGUUUAUAUAUAAAUUUACAACUAAUUUGUUGAGAUAAAUUCCAGUGAAACUGUGAAGACUAAGGACACCCAGCAUUUAUAGUUUCGAGUCCAAAGUAAAAUAGAUUUUCCUCUCUUAUGUAGGCAGGAUUUCAUCAAUCUUAUCUGCAAGUGUUUAUGUGGAUAUAUUUGCUAAAACUGUAUAAAUGUUACGUUUUUAUUCUUUGGCAAGAUGAUGUUACAAAGAAAUUGGCCUUUUCUUCUGUUAACGGUUCAGUUCUGUCAUCUCAUAUUUGCUUAGUCCUUACCAAUCUCUUGCGUUAUUUCAUUUUGCUCUGGUUUUUUUUUUCUUUCAUUUUCCUUGCUAUAUCAAUGUCUUAGUGUAGUGCAAAUGAAAUACCAUAUUUUAUUGCUGUCAAUUUUCUGUGGUGUUUUGUAUUUUGGUUGUGUAUUAAAGUAUAAUCAUACUGUGUUUUA